GGAGGAGUAGUCAAGCCUGGCCAAAGAAAGCUUUUGCUUUUGGACACGCGAGACUUAAGAUCAAAAAAUGGGUGAUCUCGUCUCUUAGGGGUUCGUGGGUUCGAAUCCCACCUCCUCCA
rnacentral:tRNA from 1 species